UGGCCAUGGUGUGGGCACUGAUUCAAUAGAUCCUUGAAUCCUUCUAGACUUGAUAAAACAUUUCAUUUUCCUUUUGGGAAAAUGUGGAAAUCAUUUGUUUUAGAUU